rnacentral:lncRNA from 1 species
CAUCAUCCAAAUUAAAGAGGCUCUUCGCUGCAUUUCAUUUAAAAUCUGAUGAAGCAGACGCCUUGCCCCUCCAUCAUACUGCAUAAAGGGAACAAUUAGGAUGUUCCAGAACCAGAACCUUAUCUAAUUGUGCAUAACACAAGUUCUGAAGUUCCACCUCUUUCUGCACUCUGUUGCGUAUGUUCUGAAACUCCUCGCAGCACACUCUUCAUCUCUCUAAUCCUCUCCCACCACACCUUCUGCGAAAAAACACCAGAACAUAAAGCAACAAGGAGGCCCAAAUUAACAACCAAGCUAUUUGACACAAUGUAAAAUUAGAUUCGUCAAUUAGCUAGAUUUGUUGAGAUUAGACCUCAGAAAGAAUACCAUAUAAAAUAGAU